CGGCGUGCUUAACACAUGCAAGUCGAACGAUGAAGCCCAGCUUGCUGGGUGGAUUAGUGGCGAACGGGUGAGUAACACGUGAGUAACCUGCCCUUGACUCUGGGAUAAGCGCUGGAAACGGCGUCUAAUACCGGAUACGACCUACCCCGGCAUCGGGUGUGGGUGGAAAGUUUUUCGGUCAAGGAUGGACUCGCGGCCUAUCAGCUUGUUGGUGAGGUAAUGGCUCACCAAGGCGACGACGGGUAGCCGGCCUGAGAGGGUGACCGGCCACACUGGGACUGAGACACGGCCCAGACUCCUACGGGAGGCAGCAGUGGGGAAUAUUGCACAAUGGGCGAAAGCCUGAUGCAGCAACGCCGCGUGAGGGAUGACGGCCUUCGGGUUGUAAACCUCUUUUAGUAGGGAAGAAGGGCUUCGGCUUGACGGUACCUGCAGAAAAAGCACCGGCUAACUACGUGCCAGCAGCCGCGGUAAUACGUAGGGUGCAAGCGUUGUCCGGAAUUAUUGGGCGUAAAGAGCUCGUAGGCGGUUUGUCGCGUCUGCUGUGAAAACCCGAGGCUCAACCUCGGGCCUGCAGUGGGUACGGGCAGACUAGAGUGCGGUAGGGGAGAAUGGAAUUCCUGGUGUAGCGGUGGAAUGCGCAGAUAUCAGGAGGAACACCGAUGGCGAAGGCAGUUCUCUGGGCCGUAACUGACGCUGAGGAGCGAAAGCGUGGGGAGCGAGCAGGAUUAGAUACCCUGGUAGUCCACGCCGUAAACGUUGGGCGCUAGAUGUGGGGACCUUUCCACGGUUUCCGUGUCGCAGCUAACGCAUUAAGCGCCCCGCCUGGGGAGUACGGCCGCAAGGCUAAAACUCAAAGGAAUUGACGGGGGCCCGCACAAGCGGCGGAGCAUGCGGAUUAAUUCGAUGCAACGCGAAGAACCUUACCAAGGCUUGACAUAUACGAGAACGGGCCAGAAAUGGUCAACUCUUUGGACACUCGUAAACAGGUGGUGCAUGGUUGUCGUCAGCUCGUGUCGUGAGAUGUUGGGUUAAGUCCCGCAACGAGCGCAACCCUCGUUCUAUGUUGCCAGCACGUUAUGGUGGGAACUCAUAGGAGACUGCCGGGGUCAACUCGGAGGAAGGUGGGGAUGACGUCAAAUCAUCAUGCCCCUUAUGUCUUGGGCUUCACGCAUGCUACAAUGGCCGGUACAAAGGGCUGCGAUACCGUAAGGUGGAGCGAAUUCCAAAAAGCCGGUCUCAGUUCGGAUUGAGGUCUGCAACUCGACCUCAUGAAGUCGGAGUCGCUAGUAAUCGCAGAUCAGCAACGCUGCGGUGAAUACGUUCCCGGGCCUUGUACACACCGCCCGUCAAGUCAUGAAAGUCGGUAACACCCGAAGCCGGUGGCCUAACCAUUUGGAGGGAGCCGUCGAAGGUGGGAUCGGUGAUUA
rnacentral:rRNA from 1 species